rnacentral:rRNA from 1 species
CGGGUGAGUAACACGUAUGCAACCUUCCUUUAACUGGGGGAUAGCCCGGAGAAAUUCGGAUUAAUACCCCAUAAUAUCACAGAAAGGCAUCUUUUUGUGAUUAAAGCUCCGGCGGUUAAAGAUGGGCAUGCGUACCAUUAGCUAGUUGGUGAGGUAACGGCUCACCAAGGCAACGAUGGUUAGGGGGUCUGAGAGGAUGAUCCCCCACACUGGUACUGAGACACGGACCAGACUCC